GUUGUUGUGGCUCAGCGGUAGAGUGUUCACCCAGCACAUGCGAGAUGCUGGGUUCGAUCCUCAGCACCACA
rnacentral:tRNA from 1 species